AGUUGAUCAUGGCUCAGGAUGAACGCUGGCGGCGUGCCUAAUACAUGCAAGUCGAACGAGUGCUUUGUAGCAAUACGAGAGUAUCCUAGUGGCGAACGGUGAGUAACGCGUUGGUGACCUACCCCAAAGUGUGGGAUAACAGUCCGAAAGGAUUGCUAAUACCGCAUGUGGUCUUCGGAUUUAGAAACUGAUGACUAAAGGAGCAAUUCGCUUUGGGAGGGACCUGCGUCCCAUCAGCUAGUUGGUGAGGUAAUGGCUCACCAAGGCUACGACGGGUAGGGGACCUGAGAGGGUGACCCCCCACAAUGGAACUGAAACACGGUCCAUACACCUACGGGUGGCAGCAGUAGGGAAUAUUGCACAAUGGGCGAAAGCCUGAUGCAGCAACGCCGCGUGUGCGAUGAAGGCCUUCGGGUCGUAAAGCACUUUUCUGGGAGAUGAGCAAGGACAGUAUCUCAGGAAUAAGUCUCGGCUAACUACGUG
rnacentral:rRNA from 1 species